CUGUCUCUUGUCGCUGGCCGUGCCCAAAUUGUUGUGUCGCUGAUGGUGCUGGUGCUGUGAGAGGCGGGCGCUGAGGCCGGCCGGGGCGGAGCUGGCGGCGGCGGAGAGGAGGCGGCAGGGCCGCAGCAGAGAGCCGGGGCUGAGAGGCCAGCGAUGCUCGGCGGGCAGAGCGGCGGCAUGUGGCGGUGUCGAGCCGCGGGGCUGGCGGCGCUGGCCGCGGUGCUGCUCGCGGCUGUGGCCAAAGCCCAGGUGCAGCAGGAGCCAUUCGUAGAGACUACCGAGGGCACCAGCAUCAAUAUCAACUGCUCACAUACUACCAAACAGCUCGGCGAUUGGAUCCAUUUCUAUCGUCAGCUCCCGGGCCGAGGACCCGAACUCGUCGCACUCACUGCUAGAGGGUCCAAAGAGCUGCCGGACAUUUCAGGAGAGCUGAGGGUGUCGGAGGACGGGCGGAGCAGCGCGCUGUGGCUGCGGCGGCCCCGGCGCGGGGACGCGGCCGUGUAUUACUGCGCGCUGGGCGCACGGGCAGAGGAGCCGGGGCUGCGGCCGGGCACGAACCGCCGCGGGCGGGGCCGGGCGGGGCCGGGGGCGCAGCGCCGGCCGCGGCCAGCACGGGGCGCUGCCGCUCCGCCCGCCGGGCCCGGGCUGGGGGGGAGCUCCCGACACCGGCGCUGA